rnacentral:rRNA from 1 species
GACGAACGCUGGCGGCGUGCUUAACACAUGCAAGUCGAGCGGUAAGGCCUCUUCGGGGGUACACGAGCGGCGAACGGGUGAGUAACACGUGGGUGACCUGCCCUCAGCUCUGGGAUAAGCCUGGGAAACUGGAUCUAAUACCGGAUAUGACCUUUCCUCGCAUGGGGUUUGGUGGAAAGUUUUUUCGGCUGGGGAUGGGCCCGCGGCCUAUCAGCUUGUUGGUGGGGUGAUGGCCUACCAAGGCGACGACGGGUAGCCGGCCUGAGAGGGCGACCGGCCACACUGGGACUGAGACACGGCCCAGACUCCUACGGGAGGCAGCAGUGGGGAAUAUUGCGCAAUGGGCGGAAGCCUGACGCAGCGACGCCGCGUGGGGGAUGACGGCCUUCGGGUUGUAAACCUCUUUCGACCCCGACGAAUUUGGACGGUAGGGGUAGAAGAAGCACCGGCCAACUACGUG